rnacentral:rRNA from 1 species
AUUGUCUGGUGGUUACGGCGAAGAGGUCACACCCGUUCCCAUCCCGAACACGGAAGUUAAGCUUUUCAGCGCCGAUGGUAGUAGGGGGCUUCCCCCUGUGAGAGUAGGUCGUCGCCGGGCAA